rnacentral:misc_RNA from 1 species
UGAUGAACCAAAAUCUGGCAAGACAUGGACCCUUGAAGGUGAAUCUGAUGAUGAGUACGAAAAUGCCAGGCCCACUGAAACGGAUAUGGACGUGGAUGAAAAUCCUAAGCCGCUUGUAGAUGGUGAACAGGUUGAAGUGGACGUCAACAAUGGCAAUGAAGCAGCUGCACCUCCACCACAAGAUAGCAUUAAUGGCGAUGCAGGUGAUGAUGAAAUUGAUCCUCUGGAUGCUUUCAUGAACUCCAUGGUGUUGCCUGAAG